rnacentral:ncRNA from 1 species
GGGUGUCUAAAUCUAUUUGACUCGAUUUAGACAGGUAUUAGUGUCGGUCGGGCCGCCGCA